rnacentral:rRNA from 1 species
GCGUGCCUAACACAUGCAAGUCGAACGAGAACGGGUUUAGUUUACUAAACUGUCAGCUAAGUGGCGCACGGGUGAGUAAUAUAUAGUUAAUCUGCCCCAAAGAAGAGAAUAAUUGUUGGAAACGACUUGUAAUGCUCUAUAUGCCUUUAAGACAUAAGUCUGCAAGGGAAAUAUUUAUAGCUUUGGGAUGAGACUGUACGGUAUCAGCUAGUUGGUGAGGUAAUGGCUCACCAAGGCUAUGACAUCUAACUGGUUUGAGAGGAUGAUCAGUCACACUGGAACUGAGACACGGUCCAGACUCCUACGGGAGGCAGCAGUGGGGAAUAUUGCACAAUGGAGGAAACUCUGAUGCAGCAACGCCGCGUGGAGGAUGACACAUUUCGGUGCGUAAACUCCUUUUAUAUGAGAAGAUAAUGACGGUAUCAUAUGAAUAAGCACCGGCUAACUCCGUGCCAGCAGCCGCGGUAAUACGGGGGGUGCAAGCGUUACUCGGAAUCACUGGGCGUAAAGAGCAUGUAGGCUGAUUAGUAAGUUGGAAGUGAAAUCCUAUGGCUCAACCAUAGAACUGCUUCCAAAACUGCUUAUCUAGAGUAUGGGAGAGGUAGAUGGAAUUUCUGGUGUAGGGGUAAAAUCCGUAGAGAUCAGAAGGAAUACCGAUUGCGAAGGCGAUCUACUGGGAACAUUACUGACGCUGAGAUGCGAAAGCGUGGGGAGCAAACAGGAUUAGAUACCCUGCUAGUCCACGCCCUAAACGAUGCACACUAGUUGUUGCUAUGCUCGACAUAGCAGUAAUGCAGUUAACACAGUAAGUGUGCCGCCUGGGGGAGUACGGUCGCAAGAUUAAAACUCAAAGGAAUAGACGGGGACCCGCACAAGCGGUGGAGCAUGUGGUUCAAUUCGACGA